rnacentral:lncRNA from 1 species
CUGGGAAAUAGCAAACGGGAUCUCUCAUAGAGGAUACGGCUUUUUAUUACAAAUAAAAUUCCUUUUUUUCAUGCAGGUUAUUCCAAAGCCACGUGUGCUGAUUGUUCAUUUCAGUCAGCCUGCACCACCUUUUAUCAUCUGUGUCAAAAUGGACCUAACUGGUGGCAGUUUUGAGAGCAACCUGGCUUCUCUAAACCUCGUUGAGGGAAAAGAUUACAUCUUCUUCAGCUGACACUGACGUCGGUGAAACUAAGCACACAAACCUACAACACAAUUGAAGAGGCAAAAAUUGCUGGACUAUUGGACUGUUCGGCCUUCUGCAAUUCUACAUGUUAUUUUUGUAAAUAAAUAGUUUCUUUUGUUUCAACAGUACAUUAAAUAUAAUGUAAAUAGCCAACACAAUUUUUCUCUCGCCUAAAUCCCACCCAGAAAGCUUCAUAACAACAAUUUGAGUUCAAACCGAUAUCCUCAACGAUCACUUUCUCCUUAAGAAUCCUCUUCCAUAAGAACCAUCCUGAAAUAAAGGUAUAUCACCAAUAGCCCCUAAUAAAGAAAAAACAAAAAUCAAGUGAUUUUUUUUGUAUUGUUGAUUUAUCGCAACACUUUUAUAUAAACAUUAAUAAUAUUAACUCGAACAGUCCUCCAUCCUUCAAAUUUGUUUGACAUGCUAUUUCACACAUGGAUAUAGAGUUAGGAUUAAGAUUGAAGAGCCACUGAAAUGUUUCUUAAUGCAAUCCUUGGAAAUGCACCAUUGUGUCCCAUUUAGCCCUAUUUUCAAUUUUCAUUCUGCCGUUUUUAAGUGUAUUUUAGUGUUUUUGUGUUUUUUUUUAUGCUGAUACAAAUUUCCAUAUUAAAGAGCGAAAGUGUGAUGUCAUAUCAGACAAAAACCACAACGUUGCAAUUAGUGUUGCACCAAAAGUUGCCAGAAAUUUGGAUAUCUCGUUGUCAUAAUUUUUUCUUUAGUAAUUCGUUGUUAUGUCAAUACAUGGCAGUAAGCCAUUGAACAAACCUUUCUCAUAAAUAUUACAGUGAAAACAAUUUAGGUUCAGAAUUUCUACAGAGUAACAGAUAAUAAGAACAGUGUCUCCCUGAAAUGACAUCACAGAAACAGCGCCCUUAGUUAUCCACAAGGCAUGAAUUGUUUUUAAUGUUUAAAGAAACGUAUUUUUCAAUAAACUUAAAGAAGAUUAGAAAAACCUUCCCCCAUUAGAAUGAUCUACUUUGGCAAAAUAAUUAUAAUUGCUUAGAUAAACGCAUUCCCCUUAAAUAAGAGACUUUUAUUAUAACAGAACUUUUAUUUUAAUAGAACUUGAAAAAUGCAUAUUGUGUACUUGCCUUGUCGAUAAUCUUCGCACACCAAAUACAUCCCUUCACCAAAUUCAUUGAAAAUUCCUGUAAUAUAUAAAUCCAGUGAAAAACAAUUAUAUUAUUUUGUUUUCAUAUACCAUGUAAAUACAUUUGAACUGCCUCUUCAAACAAACAAAAAUUGUUGGUCUCACCAUCACAUUUUAAUUUUUCUUAAAGUAUAUUGAUCUUAAUAAUUCAUUAACAUCAUUAUAUCAUUUUGUAUUUUAUUUAUACAGUGAAAUCUCGAUAAGUCAAACUCUGAUAACUCAAAACAACUGUUCAGUCAAACAAAGAAUCCAUUGCCUUCAGUAGUAUAACAAUGAUAUACAA